GCACUGCUCAUUUUAUUUUGUGUUCAUUGCCUUUUGUUUAAGUUUUCCAUAUAUUUUGAAUCGUUUUUUAUCCUAAAAUAGAUGUCUACUUAGAUGGUAUACAACCUUCUUCAAGAUUGAAAUGGAUGAUCCUCGUUACAUGGAGUCUAUCUGUGAUAUUUUCUUAGGUAUUUGGUAAAAGAAGAUUGGAUUUGUUUAGUUGGCUGUAUCAUUUAUCCAAUCUGCUAGACAUGGUUUGCUCCUAAAAAUAACUCUGGACGUGUGAAAAGAAAGUUAAUGGAUGUGGGAUGCACAAAAGCAAAUAUUAUGCAAGUUGAUGGGCCAUGUACAGGAAUAAGAGCACUACUUAUAGCUAUUGUUUGAGAUCAUUGGACUAGAUUACACUUUGAACCAAUUGUUUUCUUUUGUCCAUUGUUUUGUGCAUUGUCUCUUCCUUGCGGUAACAUUGUUUUAUGAACUUCUUUUGACAAUUUACAUUUGGCUAAUGGCAGAGAUUUUUCCUAGCCUAGAUACAUCAUGUUACUGUUAUUGACAGAUGGAAUUGUGGUGUUAUUGAUACAUCAUUGCACUGUUAUUAAUUGUCAUGUUUCCUAGGGAUUUGGCAGAUUAUAAUAUUUGGGAGGUUGUCCAUUUGAUUAUAGAGAAUAUUUGGUAGAAUUAAGUACCGAUGGCUUAUAAAAGGGUUAUAUAAAUGAUGAUUUUGAUGCUUUGUUUACUUUUGGGGUAGGAUGGGAUUAUAGUUUUGAUAACACUUUGUUUUUAUUUAUCAUAGUAUCAAUUGAGUCACCAGAUUAAAAAUAAAAUUAAUAGAACUUAAACUCUUAAAAACAGAGAGGGGUUCGGUGGGGGUUGGGCUGGGUGUUAGGAAGGAGGUAGGGUCAACAAUUUCUCACUUGCCCAAUUGAAAAAGAGAGCAUUCAUAUGCGUUUUGUGAAAGAUAUGAGCAUUCAACUCAAAACAUUGAGGCUUUGGAUGGAGUAGUCCAGGACCGUAUUAAAUCUCGUUGGGAACUCUUGCACAAUGUAAGAUAUGACCUUUGGGCCUAACUUAAUCCCAAUAGCUAGCUCAUGAGGGGAGGAUUGCCCAAGUCUGUAUAAGGAGACCCCUAGCCCAUUCCCCAACCAAUAUGGGACUCUAACACGCCCAGACCGCCAACUGGAGCAUGGACAAUAUAAUAUGGGGGCCCAAACAAGGACGCACUUGACUUCGACACCAUGUAAGAUAUAGCCCUUGGGCCUAACUCAACCCCAGAAGUUAGCUCAUGAGGGGAGGAUUGCCCAAGUCCAUGUAAGGAGACCACUAGGCCAUUUCCCAACCAAUGUGGGACUCUAACCCACUCUAACACACAACUACGAGGGACAAGUUUGAAUUUAAGAAAAAAGACAAGUGCAUUCUCUAAUACCCUCUCUUGUGUGCAAACCUAUUCUAGGAUUUGCAUUAGCAAUUGAGACUCUUUUUAUGGAAAAAGAUUGAAAAGUGGACGUGGAAGUAGUGAUAGGCUCAAUGGGCUGAAGAUUGAGCUUGGAGCAUAGGUAGACAUAGAGUAGACUCAGCGGAUUGAAGAGUGCCCUAGUAGGGAGAGGGGGAGAGAGAGAGAGAGAGAGAGAGAGAUUUGGAGUAAAUAGAGAUAGAGAGUGGCUCAGCGGAGUGAGGACUUUAGCCUGUAGGGGUUGAUGGUUGAAUUGAGAGGGAGAAGCCCGAUUGAGAAAAUAAUAGGUAGGGAAACAGUUAUGAAAACGGGCUCACCAAAAUUUUGUUGUGAUACCACGUAAAAGAAUAUGAAAAUUCACACCAAAACCCUAAUGCAAUGAGUGGAGUAGCUAAGAACCAUUAUAAAUCCUUUGGAA